GAACAAGCUUAUUCUAAAGACAAGACAUCUGACCAAACACAAAGAUAAAUAUAUUGAUUGCACAAAUGUGGAAAAUUACCACUGAAAGAUACAGGAAACGCAACGAUCACCGCGAAUGAUCAUCAUUCGCACUCGGGUGCAGCACUAGGUCGUUCAGAAGGGCACUGGAUUCCAGUGUCCAAGAUUAACAUUUGUCCAACGGUAAGAGGAACUAACAUUAGAAUUAUAGGAGUCAAACUGCAUAUUGUUAGGAGGAUAGCCUGCCAAACUAUAGUGUCUGGGCGGUGGAUACAUGUAAGGAGCACCUUGAGUUGCAACAAAACCUGGUGGAUGCUGCUGGGGAGGUUGCAUUGAAUGAACUACAGGUGUGCCACGAAUGGAUGCUUUUGGAGGAUCCUCUGAUGAAACAUGUAUUCUAGGACGCUUUUUUCCACUCUGCUGUUGCAGUUCAGUGUUAGGGGCAGUAACAGAAGUUGGUGCAGAGGAAAGGGAGAACUGCUGAUCUAAUUUAGAUUUAGACGAGGAACAAGGUGUGAUUUUGGCUUUUGAUUUUUCAAUGAUAAGAACUUUCUCUUCUUUCUGUUUUUCCAGUUGGACAAUUUGUUCUUUGAGGAUUGCAGGUGAGAUGCCAUCAAUCUUGCAAUCCGUGAUGCAUUUGACCACAGCUUUCAAUGCUUUUACCUCUUUGACAAUGGCUUGAAUCUGCCCUCCAUUAGAUUUUCUCUUUUUCCUGGAUAGUUGCUUAACAUUCUUUUUGGAAGAAUUGCUCAAAUAGUCCUUUAAAAUGGGUACCGGUGGGAACUUGUCGACCAUAUCUAAUGCAUAGAUAUAUUUAACAGCCUCUAUUGGCUGCUCCUUCUUAAUGAGAUUUUGAAUAAAAUUUGGGAUCUUAUCUGCUAAACCAAGUACUUGAACCAAAUCAGCAGCCUCUUUACGCCACUCAUCAGCAUCCAGAAGAACAAGAAGUUUGUCUGCAUCGAAAGUAGAGGCCAAACCAUAGGCAGCUAAAAACUGUAGAAAACAAAUGACCUCCAAAUGAUCAUUUUUCUUCUCUGCCAAUGUUGUUUCCCAAUAAAAUGCAACUUUUUUAGCCUCUUCUUUUAUAUCAGGAUUAAUCUGGGGUGAGACCAUCCUUAACUGCUCCAGCAAUAAGAUACAACUCUUUUUUGAAACUCGUAACUUGAUGUCCUCAUUUCUCUUCAAGUUGAAAGGAUGGGAAGCAUUCAUUACAUCCAAAACAAGCCUUCCCGGAUCACAUGCAAGUCGAAGAGCAGCAGCAAUCUCACCAUGUUCUAAAUCAUUAUCCUCAUGUUUUUUAAGUAACAGUUUCAAAUCCUCCUUACUCCUGUUAAAAGAAAAAGCUUUAGGCUUAUGCUGAGGAUCCAGGGAUGAAGAAGCCUCCUUGCUUUCUAGUGGUGAAUCUCCUAAUGAGGAUUGCUGAGUCUUUGCAUGGAAAGGAUCAAAGCGGUUUGCUUGAUCAGCACCAGAACAAGAAUUUGGAAGAUCUUUUGGUGACAUAUCUGUCCAAGAACGUUUACUUCCACUCAACUGUUGUGAUCGAGUCUUGGGGAAAGGCACAGAAUUUGAGGUGGUCGAUGGAAAACUGGUAAGAGCCACACUUGUGGUGGAUGCAGAUUUGGGGGCAAGCACAGGGGCAUCAAGUGCAGCAUAAUUAGGGGGCAAACGUUUCUUCCUAUUCCUUCGUUUCUUGCAUGCAAGGGCAGCCACCUUUGUUUUUCUAUUUGAGAUUUGUCUCUCCAUAACAUCUAUCAAAUGCUUAAGGUUUCCAAGUGAGGGUCCAAAUUCAAUAUUGAAUUCUUCAAUGCAUCUUACUGCACAACUCAGAUCAGCUAUUCUUUUGUUUGUGGCCUCAGUCUGUCCUUCAAGUGAUUUGUUUCCCUUUCUAAACUUUUUGGCAGCACUCUUGGAACCCUUUAGGUAAUCAUUCAAUAAAGGUACAGGUGGGAACUCAUUAACUAGCUCAAAAGCAUAAAUAAAUCUAAUGGCCUCAACAUGCUGCUUCUUUCUGAUAAGAUUUUGAAUAAAACCAGAUAUCUUUUCUGCAAAACCCAGGACACGAAAUAAUUCAGGAGACUGGCGAUGUUUUGCAACUAUCUCCAAUUGAGUUAAGAGAUCAUCAGCAUCAAAAGCAGAGACCAGUCCAUAAGAAGCUAAAAGCUGCAAAAACCCUAAGACCUCAAGAGAAUGCCCAGCGUCUCCCUUAAUUUUUGUUCUCCAAUCAAAGGCAAGUCUCAUUGCUUCUUUUUUCACAUGAGGCCUAAUUUCUGGUGAUAUUUUCAUCAGUUGCUCUAGUAAGAGUAUGCAACUCCUUCUAACAACCUCUUCUUCGAACUCCAUAUCUCCCUUUUUCAAAUGGGGAGGGAAAAACCCUUGCAUUGCAUCCAAUACAAGCUUUGCAGGGUCGGAUGAGAAUCCUAGUGCAACAAGUACCUCAUUCCUCAUUGAAUCAUACUCCCCACGAUGCUCAUUUAAGAAAAUCUGCAAGGCCUUCCCAUCCAUAUUCACAGAAAAAUGAAGAUUAGCAUUGGGAUAGUCCACAGCAUUGUCAACCACACUGGUAUUUGGUGGCUCAAUCUUCACGCGGAUAGUAUGACCAUGAACAAAAUGCUUCUCUUUCAUUUCCAGUUCUCUGCACUGUUUUUCAAAUUGUCUCUUCUUCUCUUCAAACUCUUUACAUCGUUCCAUAAACUUCUUUUUUUCAGAUUCCACUUUCUCACACCGUGCUUUAAUUAGCUUCUCCUUCAAUUCAAGAUCGUUAAAUUUACCAUCAAUCUUCUCAUCUUUCACUCUGAAUUCUUCGUAUUUUUCCUCAAAUUUCUUUUCCUUCGCUUCAAAUUCCAAAAUCCGCCUGCUAAAAUUUUCUUCUUUGAGCGCAAGUUCUUUGCAAUGCUCUUCAAUUUGUUCCUUUUUCAACUUCAAUUCAUUGAAAAAUCGCUCACAUUCCUUCUCUUUCACUUCAGUCUCGCUCAAAAUCUCUCUAACCUCAGCAGCCCUCUUCUCAAUUGAAUCAUUAAACAACUCAAGCUUCUUCUCAGCAUCUCUAAUCUCUCUCAAUUUCAACUCUAACUCUCUGCCAGAUUUCUCAAUCCGCUCAAUUUCUCUCUUGCUCUCCUCAAUCUCCUUCCUUUGAUUUAACUCAAAAUCCUUCUCUUUGGCCUCAAUCUCUCUAAAUCUCUCUUUCACAUAUUCUUGAACAAGUUCCAACUCCCUCUCUCGCUCCUUGACAUCCUCCAUAGUCUGUUGAACCGAUUCUUGGAUAGAAUCAACCUCCACGGCGCGUUGUUCGAUGGCAUUGUGAGCGGAGGCGAAGUGAUCCUCUAUGUCCUUCCAUUGAAGGGUAAGUAAGAGAAUCGAAGAAGCGCGAUCUUGAAGUUGAUCGAUGGUUCGGCGAAAGGUUUGUCUCCUUAAGUCGGAGAGUUUCAACUCAGAGGAAAUAUUAUCCUCCAUUGAAGCCUAU
rnacentral:misc_RNA from 1 species